rnacentral:rRNA from 1 species
UACGGGGGGGGCAAGCGUUAAUCGGAAUUACUGGGCGUAAAGCGUGCGCAGGCGGCUUUGCAAGACAGAUGUGAAAUCCCCGGGCUCAACCUGGGAACUGCAUUUGUGACUGCAUGGCUAGAGUGCGGCAGAGGGGGAUGGAAUUCCGCGUGUAGCAGUGAAAUGCGUAGAUAUGCGGAGGAACACCGAUGGCGAAGGCAAUCCCCUGGGCCUGCACUGACGCUCAUGCACGAAAGCGUGGGGAGCAAACAGG